UACGUAAGGUGCGAACGUUGUUCGGAAUCACUGGGCGUAAAGCGCGCGUAGGCGGUUAGUUAAUCUGGAUGUGAAAGCCCAGGGCUCAACCUUGGAACUGCAUUCAGAACUGGCUGGCUAGAGUACGAGAGAGGGUAGUGGAAUUUCCUGUGUAGCGGUGAAAUGCGUAGAUAUAGGAAGGAACAUCAGUGGCGAAGGCGACUGCCUGGCUCGAUACUGACGCUGAGGUGCGAAAGCGUGGGGAGCAAACAGG
rnacentral:misc_RNA from 1 species